rnacentral:rRNA from 1 species
AAAUUGAAGAGUUUGAUCAUGGCUCAGAUUGAACGCUGGCGGCAGGCCUAACACAUGCAAGUCGAACGGUAACAGGAAACAGCUUGCUGUUUCGCUGACGAGUGGCGGACGGGUGAGUAAUGUCUGGGAAACUGCCUGAUGGAGGGGGAUAACUACUGGAAACGGUAGCUAAUACCGCAUAACGUCGCAAGACCAAAGAGGGGGACCCUCGGGCCUCUUGCCAUCGGAUGUGCCCAGAUGGGAUUAGCUUGUUGGUGGGGUAACGGCUCACCAAGGCGACGAUCCCUAGCUGGUCUGAGAGGAUGACCAGCCACACUGGAACUGAGACACGGUCCAGACUCCUACGGGAGGCAGCAGUGGGGAAUAUUGCACAAUGGGCGCAAGCCUGAUGCAGCCAUGCCGCGUGUAUGAAGAAGGCCUUCGGGUUGUAAAGUACUUUCAGCGGGGAGGAAGGGAGUAAAGUUAAUACCUUUGCUCAUUGACGUUACCCGCAGAAGAAGCACCGGCUAACUCCGUGCCAGCAGCCGCGGUAAUACGGAGGGUGCAAGCGUUAAUCGGAAUUACUGGGCGUAAAGCGCACGCAGGCGGUUUGUUAAGUCAGAUGUGAAAUCCCCGGGCUCAACCUGGGAACUGCAUCUGAUACUGGCAAGCUUGAGUCUCGUAGAGGGGGUAGAAUUCCAGGUGUAGCGGUGAAAUGCGUAGAGAUCUGGAGGAAUACCGGUGGCGAAGGCGGCCCCUGGACGAAGACUGACGCUCAGGUGCGAAAGCGUGGGGAGCAAACAGGAUUAGAUACCCUGGUAGUCCACGCCGUAAACGAUGUCGACUUGGAGGUUGUGCCCUUGAGGCGUGGCUUCCGGAGCUAACGCGUUAAGUCGACCGCCUGGGGAGUACGGCCGCAAGGUUAAAACUCAAAUGAAUUGACGGGGGCCCGCACAAGCGGUGGAGCAUGUGGUUUAAUUCGAUGCAACGCGAAGAACCUUACCUGGUCUUGACAUCCACGGAAGUUUUCAGAGAUGAGAAUGUGCCUUCGGGAACCGUGAGACAGGUGCUGCAUGGCUGUCGUCAGCUCGUGUUGUGAAAUGUUGGGUUAAGUCCCGCAACGAGCGCAACCCUUAUCCUUUGUUGCCAGCGGUCCGGCCGGGAACUCAAAGGAGACUGCCAGUGAUAAACUGGAGGAAGGUGGGGAUGACGUCAAGUCAUCAUGGCCCUUACGACCAGGGCUACACACGUGCUACAAUGGCGCAUACAAAGAGAAGCGACCUCGCGAGAGCAAGCGGACCUCAUAAAGUGCGUCGUAGUCCGGAUUGGAGUCUGCAACUCGACUCCAUGAAGUCGGAAUCGCUAGUAAUCGUGGAUCAGAAUGCCACGGUGAAUACGUUCCCGGGCCUUGUACACACCGCCCGUCACACCAUGGGAGUGGGUUGCAAAAGAAGUAGGUAGCUUAACCUUCGGGAGGGCGCUUACCACUUUGUGAUUCAUGACUGGGGUGAAGUCGUAACAAGGUAACCGUAGGGGAACCUGCGGUUGGAUCACCUCCUUA